GCUCCAGACAGCUCAGAACAGAGAGACUCCAUUUGUUUGAGAGAACAUAAUGGAAAAGAACAAGAGUCUGCCUGGUAAUCCAGAGAAUUCCUGUGAAUCUUAUCCAAGACUACCAAGGCAGUACCUCUGUGAGGCUGCAAGAAGCACAUCACUAUUGGGCUUGGGGUGCCCCCUAAUGCAGAUAUGACUUAGACCACAACACUCAAGUCAUUUUGAAAACCUGGAAAGCCUUUCCAAGAAGGAUGGGUACAAACAAGCCCAGAUAGAGAAGACUACAAUAAAUACCUAACUCUUCAAUACCCAGACAAAAACAAACAUAAGCAUCCAGACCAUCCAAGAAAACAUGAACUCAACAAAUGAACUAAAUAAGACACCAGGAACCUAUUUGAAGAAACAGAGAUAUGUGACCUUUCCAAGAAUUCAAAAGUGCUGUGUUGAAGAAACUUAAAGAAAUUCAAGAUAACACAAAGAAGAAAAUCAGAAUUCUAUCAGAUAAAUUUAACAAAGAGGUUGAAAUAAUUGAAAAGAACCAAGCAGAAAUUCUAGAGUUGGAAAACGCAAUUAACAUACUAAAAAAUACAUCAGAGUUUUUUAAUAGCAGAAUUGAUCAAGCAGCAGAAAUAAGUAAUGAGGCUGAAGACAGACCAUUUGAAAAUACACAGUCAGAGGAAACAAAAAGAAAAAGAAUAAAAAAGAAUGAAGCACACCUAUGAGAUCUAGAAAAAUAGCCCCAAAAGGGCAAAUCUAAAAUUUAUUAACCCUAAAGAGGAGAUAGAGAAAGAGACAGGGGUAGAAAGUUUAGUAAAAGGGAUAAUAACACAAAACAUCCCAAACCUAGAGAAAGAUACCAAUAUCCAAAUACAAGAAAGUUAUAGAAUACCAAGCAGUUUAACCCAAAGAAGACUACAUCAAGGCAUUUAAUAAUCAAACUUUCAAACAUCAAGGAUAAACAAAGGAUCCUAAAAGUAGUGAGAGAAAAUAAAUGACAUACAUCUGGCAACAUAGUCCUUCCCAUUCUUCCCUCCCCUUCUGAGGCAGAGGAGUCUCAUCCCAUGGCCAUCAUCCCACAGAGCUAUGGAGAGUAUUGCCAAGCCACCACUGGAGCACCCAGGUAUGUAUGUGUGUAUAUAUAGACAAAAACUGUAAGAGUCAAAGAAGCUGACUAUAUAAUGACAAAGGGAUUGAUACAUCAGAAAGGUAUAACAAUUUUACAUAUAUGUGCACCCAACACUGGAGCACUCAGAUAUAUAAAGCAAAUAUUAUUAGAGCUAAAGAGAGAGAUGCAACCUACAAGGACUGAACCAUGAGCCAUUCUAAACUCAUCCUAUGAUGCCAGUAUUACCCUGCUACCAAAACCGGACAAUCAAAAAAAAAAAAUUGUAG
rnacentral:lncRNA from 10 species